UGCUUGCACCUGAUGACGAGUGGCGCACGGGUGCGGAACGCGUAUGGAACCUGCCCCUGUCAGGGGAAUAGCCCAUGGAAACGUGGAUUAAUGCCCCAUGGUAUCCCGACCCUGCAUGGGCGUCGGGAUUAAAGAUUUAUCGGACAGGGAUGGCCAUGCGUACCAUUAGCCAGUUGGUAGGGUAACGGCCUACCAAGGCAGCGAUGGUUAGGGGCCCUGAGAGGGGGAUCCCCCACACUGGUACUGAGACACGGACCAGACUCCUACGGGAGGCAGCAGUGAGGAAUAUUGGACAAUGGUGGGAACACUGAUCCAGCCAUGCCGCGUGCAGGAUGACGGCCCUAUGGGUUGUAAACUGCUUUUGUACGGGAAGAAACCCGGGUACGAGUACCUGGUUGACGGUACCGUAAGAAUAAGGACCGGCUAACUCCGUGCCAGCAGCCGCGGUAAUACGGAGGGUCCGAGCGUUAUCCGGAAUCAUUGGGUUUAAAGGGUCCGUAGGCGGGCCUGUAAGUCAGAGGUGAAAGGCCACGGCUCAACCGUGGGACUGCCUUUGAUACUGCAGGUCUUGAGUCAUGGUGGGGUUGCCGGAACAUGUGGUGUAGCGGUGAAAUGCAUAGAUAUCACAUAGAACACCGAUCGCGAAGGCAGGUGGCCAACCAUGAACUGACGCUGAUGGACGAAAGCGUGGGUAGCGAACGGGAUUAGAUACCCCGGUAGUCCACGCCGUAAACGAUGGACACUAGCUGUGGGGACUUCCGUCUCCGUGGCCAAGCGAAAGUGAUAAGUGUCCCACCUGGGGAGUACGUUCGCAAGAAUGAAACUCAAAGGAAUUGACGGGGGCCCGCACAAGCGGUGGAGCAUGUGGUUUAAUUCGAUGAUACGCGAAGAACCUUACCAGGGCUUAAAUGCAGUCUGCAUAGG
rnacentral:rRNA from 1 species